rnacentral:lncRNA from 1 species
UCGCUGAACUUGAAGAAACAUGAGUUAUGAUCCACCUGGAGCCGGUAAAAAACAUGGGAAAAAAUGAAAGCGACCCCAUUUGUACCAGCAGGAAUCGUUGGGCUCCUUGCUGUUGUAAUCUACGGAGUAAAAAAUUAUAAACCCAGAAGAAUAUGAAUCCAACUGCAUAUUUUGGAUCCUUGCGAGUUAUGGCCCAAGGAAUGGUAGCUGGCGCCAUAGCAUUAGCAGCUUGUGUUGACGCUGUCAAAUACUUUGCCAACGAAAUAAAAAAAGAGGAAAGAAAGAUGAUUCCUGAAUUUGUGUUUCAGAUUAAUGUAAGCGACAAGUGUUACCACUCUUGUUUCAUAAAAUCAUGGGUGUAUCACAGAUUUCAAAUGACUCAUCAUUCUAGGUGAGAAUACUUGCCUCUACCUGAUUCUUUUUUUUUUACUAUGUACAUAAGUAGGAAUUUUGAGAUUGUUAGCUAUGAUCUAAAGCAAAAUAAAUCGUAAGAUGGAAACUCCAUGAAAAAUAUCUGCUAUUUGUCUUCCUUACCUGCUAAUUUCAAGGUCAUUCACAAUGGAUAAGGUUAGAUGCUCUGCUGUUUGUUUUGGUAGAUCCUUUUUCCAAAUAUAGGUGUGGCCUGAUCGUUGAAAUUUAUUUCAGCACUACAAAACAUCGAAAAUCAAUAUAUUACACGGCUCGGAUAGGGCUGUGUCUUUUGUCUUCUUUUGCUAACUAAGUCCAAUAAUAAACAAUCAGGCUGCUGGGAACUCAUCAAGAUAGAAAGAACGAAGAAAGAUGAACAACUAACUAACAUAGAUGUCCAUAGAGUGUUUUCAAGAGAUUGUAUGCUAAACCAUGUGAAUGUG